GAUGAAGAACGUAGCGAAAUGCGAUAAGUAAUGCGAAUUGCAGAAUUCCAGUGGGUCAUCGAAUCUUUGAACGCACAUUGCGCCCUUUGGUAUUCCGAAGGGCAUGCCUGUUCGAGCGUCAUUAUCACCCCUCAAGCCCUCGGCUUGGUGUUGGACGGUUUGGUGGAGGCCCCCUCGGGGGCUCCUGCCCCUCCCAAAGACAAUGACGGCGGCCUCGUUGGACCCCCGGUACACUGAGUUCUUCACGGGACACGUAUCGGACACAUGGGUUUACGGGACACGGUCUGCCUCCCCUCAGGGAGAAUCUUUCUAAGGUUGACCUCGGAUCAGGUAGGGAUACCCGCUGAACUUAAGCAUAUCAAUAAGCGGAGGA
rnacentral:misc_RNA from 1 species